AUUGAACGCUGGCGGCAGGCCUAACACAUGCAAGUCGAGCGCGCGGCGGACGGGUGAGUAAUGUAUGGGUAUCUGCCCGAUAGAGGGGGAUAUCCACUAGACACUGUGGCUUAUACCGUAUUCUAUCGUGUGCACCCAUAUGGGAUUAGCUAGUAGGUGGGGUAAAGGCUCACCUAGGCGACGAUCUCUCGCUGGUCUGAGAGGAUGAUCAGCCACACUGGGACUGAGACACGGCCCAGACUCCUACGGGAGGCAGCAGUGGGGAAUAUUGCACAAUGGGCGCAAGCCUGAUGCAGCCAUGCCGCGUGUAUGAAGAAGGCCUUAGGGUUGUAAAGUACUUUCAGCGGGGAGGCGUUACCCGCAGAAGAAGCACCGGCUAACUCCGUGCCAGCAGCCGCGGUAAUUC
rnacentral:rRNA from 1 species